CCUACGGGUGGCAGCAGUCGAGAAUCAUUCACAAUGGGGGAAACCCUGAUGGUGCGACGCCGCGUGGGGGAAUGUAGGUCUUCGGAUUGUAAACCCCUGUCAUGUGGGAGCAAAUUAAAAAGAUAGUACCACAAGAGGAAGAGACGGCUAACUCUGUGCCAGCAGCCGCGGUAAUACAGAGGUCUCACGCGUUGUUCGGAAUCACUGGGCGUAAGGCGUGCGUAGGCUGUUUCGUAAGUCGUGUGUGAAAGGCGCGGGCUCAACCCGCGGACGGCACAUGAUACUGCGAGACUAGAGUAAUGGAGGGGGAACCGGAAUUCUCGGUGUAGCAGGGAAAUGCGUAGAUAUCGAGAGGAACACUCGUGGCGAAGGCGGGUUCCUGGACAUUAACUGACGCUGAGGCACGAAGGCCAGGGGAGCGAAAGGGAUUAGAUACCCCUGUAGUC
rnacentral:rRNA from 1 species